rnacentral:rRNA from 1 species
UGAGGAACAUGACCUUCGGCGGGGGAUAGCCGGCCCAACGGCCGGGUAAUACCGCGUAUGACACAUGGGGACAUCCCUGAGUGGUGAAAGCAGCAAUGCGCCGAUGGAGUGCCUCGCGGCCUAUCAGCUAGUUGGUGAGGUAACGGCUCACCAAGGCGAUGACGGGUAGCUGGUCUGAGAGGAUGGCCAGCCACAGUUGGGACUGAGACACGGCCCAGACCUACCGG